UACGGAGGAUCCUAGCGUUAUCCGGAUUCAUUGGGUUUAAAGGGUGCGUAGGCGGACUGAUAAGUCAGCGGUGAAAUCCCACGGCUCAACUGUGGAACUGCCGUUGAUACUGUUAGUCUUGAAUGCAGAUGAUGUGGGCGGAAUAUGACAUGUAGUGGUGAAAUACUUAGAUAUGUCAUAGAACACCGAUUGCGAAGGCAGCUCACAAAACUGUGAUUGACGCUGAUGCACGAAAGCGUGGGGAUCAAACAGG
rnacentral:rRNA from 1 species